rnacentral:misc_RNA from 1 species
AUUCCUCGUGAAAUUUUUACCUCUCUUCAGAAAGCUUACAACAAUGGUAAUAAUGGGGUCUUUCCCUUGUUUACUUCCUGUCUAAAAAAGCAGAUUACAAUCCUCUUCUAAAUAACUAGUCAAUGAUAUAAAAAGUCUCUCUGGCUCUUGUCGGAGAUAUCAUAUGAAACAAUGUCUUGCUAAUUAGCCACUACAACAAGACCUAGAACAGAGGCGCAUCCUUUAG